rnacentral:rRNA from 1 species
AACGAACGCUGGCGGCGUGGAUAAGACAUGCAAGUCGAACGGGACAGACCGAGUAGCAAUAUUUGGAAUGUUCAGUGGCGAACGGGUGCGUAACACGUGGAUAACAUUCCGGAAAGCGGGGAAUAGCCCAGGGAAACUUGGAUUAAUACCGCAUGUGGCCGCAAGGCUAAAGACGGGGACCGCAAGGCCUGUCACUUUCCGAAUGGUCCGCGGCCUAUCGGCGAGUUGGCGGGGUAAUGGCCCACCAAGGCUACGACGGGUAGCUGGUCUUAGAGGACGACCAGCCACACUGGAACUGAGACACGGUCCAGACACCUACGGGUGGCAGCAGUCGAGUAUCUUUCACAAUGGGGGCAACCCUGAUGGAGCGACGCCGCGUGGAGGAUAAGGUCUUCGGAUUGUAAACUCCUGUCAUGCGAGAACAAGGUACUCAGGCUAAUAACCUGAUUGCUUGAUGGUACCGCAAGAGGAAGAGACGGCUAACUCUGUGCCAGCCGCCGCAGUAACAC